GUUUGAAGCUUUGCAAGAAAAGGUUCAAAUAAAUUCCAGAAAAGCACAAACAUUAUAUAACAAUGUUGAUCAGACAACCCAGAGGACAAAGGACCUGGACACAAAUAUUAAAAAUGUCAUCCGGAAUGUGCACAUUCUCUUGAAGCAGAUCUCUGGGACAGAUGGGGAAGGAAACAAUGUGCCGUCAGGGGAUUUUUCCAGAGAGUGGGCCAAAGCAGAGC